ACGGAAGGCAGCAGUGGGGAAUAUUGCACAAUGGGGGAAACCCUGAUGCAGCGACGCCGCGUGAGUGAAGAAGUAUUUCGGUAUGUAAAGCUCUAUCAGCAGGGACGAAAAUGACGGUACCUGACUAAGAAGCCCCGGCUAACUACGUGCCAGCAGCCGCGGUAAUACGUAGGGGGCAAGCGUUAUCCGGAUUUACUGGGUGUAAAGGGAGCGUAGACGGUCUGGCAAGUCUGAUGUGAAAACCCAGGGCUCAACCUUGGGAUUGCAUUGGAAACUGUCAGACUAGAGUGCAGGAGAGGUAAGUGGAAUUCCUAGUGUAGCGGUGAAAUGCGUAGAUAUUAGGAGGAACACCAGUGGCGAAGGCGGCUUACUGGACUGUAACUGACGUUGAGGCUCGAAAGCGUGGGGAGCAAACAGGAUUAGAUACCCUGGUA
rnacentral:rRNA from 1 species